rnacentral:tRNA from 1 species
AGUCAGGUAGCUCGUUGGGCUCAUAACCCAAAGGUCGUGGGUUCAAAUCCCACCCCCGCUACCA